rnacentral:misc_RNA from 1 species
GUGAAUCAUCAAAUCUUUGAACGCAAAUUGCACUCCCUGGUAUUCCGGGGAGUAUGCCUGUUUGAGGGUCGUUAGAACAAAAAUCGAAGCGUCGCUCUUUUUUUUAAGGGUGAUCGCGUCGGAAUUGAGCCGUCUUUCAAAUGUUAAUUCAUGUCAAAGUGGCUUAAAAUUCAUCCAUCCGGUACGACUAAAGCGUAUUUAAGAUCAACUUUGAUUAAGAACGCGCGAGGCCGUACCAUCUCAUGAAGACAA